GACGUCGAUAUUGGACGUCAUAAACACGAUCAACGUUUGUGUUGAUGACGUCGAUAUUCGACGUCAUAAACACGAUCAACUUUGCCGUUUAUGACGUCGAUAUUCGACGUUAUAAACAGUAUCCACUUUGCUGUAUAUGACGUCGAUAUUCGACGUCAUAAACACGAUCAACUUUGGUGUUUAUGACGUCGAUAUUCGACGUCAUAAGCAUGAUCAACUUUGGUGUUUCUGACGUCCAUAUUGGACGUC